rnacentral:ncRNA from 1 species
AUCGGGUCUGUGGUUGCAAGCCGAUGCCAGUCGCAGGCAAAACGGUCCACGUAAGCCGAAAAAAAUUUCCGGUGAGCAUGGUGCGGUCUAGAGGUAAGUCCGGCCGCGCUUGAGGGCGCGAGAGGACGGCGUGAGGGCGCGAUUGCGCAGAGCAAUGUUCCAGCCGGCGAGUGUGGGGUCAAAAACCAGGUCAGCCGC